CUUAAGGGGCAAAUGGGAGGGGGAGAAAGAAGAGGAAUUCGGGGAGAAGAAAGAAGAGGGAGCAGUGGGGAAGCUGAAGCCCCCACGACUCACCUGGGAAACCUGGAUCAGGAGCUCCUACUCUCACCGCACUCAUAGUGAACAAAUGUUCGACAGGCAAUUUCAGGGGAUUAAAUCACCUCGGCCCCACCCCAUGCACCCGUGUCGGGCCCGGGGCCUGCCUCUGAAGCCCUGCUGCUGCCCGAGCCCAGCCUUGACGCUGUCGGCCCUGCCCCCGAUAUCACCCGGAUCCCGUCUCCUGGGACUCUCCGGUGUUCCACGUUGGAAUCAGCUGUGCUUAAUGUACAGGACUGGGACCGUAACUGCUGAAUGCUACUGGCAGUGAGGCUUCUUCCCAGCCGGGUGAUCCUGUAUCCUAGGCCCGCAGUGUGGCUGGACGCAGGCUGGACACGCAGGUAAGGCUAGGGCUCAAAAACUGUUGGCGGUGAGGCAGAAGUUUCCUUUGGCAAGUGGUGUCAUCUUGCUCGGAUGCUGGGGAGCGGGCUGGGACAGAGCUGCAGGUGAGUGGAAACCAGCCCUGCUCCAGCAGUGCUGUCAUCAUGUCACUGCACUGGGGCAAGCACAAAUCUGUCACCUUUAAUCUGCCAGAAAACAGAUGCAACUCAGACAUUAUAGAUUAGGCAUGCAACAUGUCAUAGGUAACAAAAUGGAUUAGACAGCAGUGUAUAUUAAAUAAAUCUUUGUAAGUAAAAAAAUCACAGAAACAAUUACUAAGGAACAAGUCUGCAGGCUCAGGUCUAGAGCUGGUGGGGUUUUCUCUUAUACAGCAGCAGCCAAGUUCACAUGUGCAGUGGGAAGAAGUAAAAUCCCAUUAGCAUUUAUGCUCAAACCAGGUCUGCCUUCCCAGUGGUACAGAAAGUGCCUUCAGAGUCGGUGCCGUUAGAAAUUAACAACCCCAGUGUUAAUUAGGUUCAUUAGCAAGUGCACACAAACAGGUGGAGCUGGAACAGAGCUGUGUUCCAGAGUGCCAGAUUUCAUUCGGAAUGCCUCCACUGCAAAAACAGGAAUGCGGAAAGGAUGGAAAACCAAUCACUGUACAGAGAGAAUGACAGGGUUCAGCAUGUUCUCCUAAAAGGCUAAAUGCCAACCCCAGCCCAGAUGCUUUGUAGCACAUGUACAGCUUGGCAGUAAUGAGGCAGCUUCAGUAGAACAGACAUCUGGACAUGCUGUGUCAGGCCUCUGCUGUGCCUUGACACUCUUCUAGUACUUACACAAAAAUGCAACAUCCAGCCUGUACUUCUGGAUACAGAACAACAGUGAUAUGCUUAAUGAAGAGAGCUGCUUUCGAGAGACAGCCUGUGGAGAGAAAGCUUCCAACAGAGCUUUCUCCCACUCUCCUAAUAGUUUAGGAACACAAGGCUCAAUGUGCUUUGAAAAAAAAGUCUGGUAUGAAAUUAAGAAAAAUGCUCAUUUUUCCAAGUAUAUGAUAUUUAAUUGUAAUGAAAUAAAAUCUGAAAAUGUCUAAAUCAA